rnacentral:misc_RNA from 1 species
AAUUCUCAAUCGUACUAGCUUUUUCAUGAGCUAGUUCGACUUGGAUUGUGGAUGCUGCUGGCUUUUUUAAAGUCUGCUCUUCUCAAAUAUAUUAGCAGAAGUCUUUUGACUGCUUGUCCUUGGUAUGAUAACUAUCUAUACUAUUGACAUCAGUUUUCUGUUUACAGUUGACUUGCGCUUCUAAUAGUCUAUUCAGACAACUUGUGAUA